rnacentral:rRNA from 1 species
CCUACGGGGGGCUGCAGUAAGGAAUAUUGGACAAUGGACGCAAGUCUGAUCCAGCCAUGCCGCGUGAAGGAUUAAGGUCCUCUGGAUUGUAAACUUCUUUUAUAAGGGACGAAAAAAGGCUUUUCUAAGUCGUCUGACGGUACCUUAUGAAUAAGCACCGGCUAACUCCGUGCCAGCAGCCGCGGUAAUACGGAGGGUGCAAGCGUUAUCCGGAUUCACUGGGUUUAAAGGGUGCGUAGGCGGGCAGGUAAGUCAGUGGUGAAAUCCUAGAGCUU